ACUCUAGUAGUGUAUCAGCACGUGAGCUUUUCACGCUCAAGGAAAAAUCAAUGUUUUCUGGAGUA
rnacentral:tRNA from 1 species